rnacentral:rRNA from 1 species
CAUUUAUUAUGUAAAUGAAGGAGUGAAAUCCUAAAUUUAUGUUAUAAAAUUAAAAUAUAAUCAAAUCAUAUAAGAUUUAAACUAGGAUUAGAUACCCUAUUAUUCUUGUAAUCAUCUAAAGUAGUAAAUUUUAAACUUAAAAUUUUGACGGUAUUUAAUUUUUUAGAGGAAUAUGUAAUUUAAUCGUCAAUACACGUUAAUUUUACUUAUUUUAUUUUUGUAUACCACCGUUAAUAGAUUUUAUUAUAUAUUUAAAUAAAUUUCUAAAUAAAUUAAUUUUAUUAUAUCAGGUCAAGGUGCAAAACAAAUAAGUUAUUAUGUAUUACAUUCAAAUAUAUUGUAAUGGAAAAUUAUUGAAAAUUUUAUUUGAAAUUGAAUCUACAAGUAUAAUAAUAAUAAAGUAUUAUUUGAAAUAAUAUUAAAUAUGU